rnacentral:rRNA from 1 species
GCUAGCUACAGGCUUAACACAUGCAAGUCGAGGGGCAGCAUGGUCUUAGCUUGCUAAGGCCGAUGGCGACCGGCGCACGGGUGAGUAACACGUAUCCAACCUGCCGUCUACUCUUGGACAGCCUUCUGAAAGGAAGAUUAAUACAAGAUGGCAUCAUGAGUCCGCAUGUUCACAUGAUUAAAGGUAUUCCGGUAGACGAUGGGGAUGCGUUCCAUUAGAUAGUAGGCGGGGUAACGGCCCACCUAGUCUUCGAUGGAUAGGGGUUCUGAGAGGAAGGUCCCCCACAUUGGAACUGAGACACGGUCCAAACUCCUACGGGAGGCAGCAGUGAGGAAUAUUGGUCAAUGGGCGAGAGCCUGAACCAGCCAAGUAGCGUGAAGGAUGACUGCCCUAUGGGUUGUAAACUUCUUUUAUAAAGGAAUAAAGUCGGGUAUGGAUACCCGUUUGCAUGUACUUUAUGAAUAAGGAUCGGCUAACUCCGUGCCAGCAGCCGCGGUAAUACGGGGGAUCCGAGCGUUAUCCGGAUUUAUUGGGUUUAAAGGGAGCGUAGAUGGAUGUUUAAGUCAGUUGUGAAAGUUUGCGGCUCAACCGUAAAAUUGCAGUUGAUACUGGAUAUCUUGAAUGCAGUUGAGGCAGGCGGAAUUCGUGGUGUAGCGGUGAAAUGCUUAGAUAUCACGAAGAACUCCGAUUGCGAAGGCAGCCUGCUAAGCUGCAACUGACAUUGAGGCUCGAAAGUGUGGGUAUCAAACAGGAUUAGAUACCCUGGUAGUCCACACGGUAAACGAUGAAUACUCGCUGUUUGCGAUAUACUGCAAGCGGCCAAGCGAAAGCGUUAAGUAUUCCACCUGGGGAGUACGCCGGCAACGGUGAAACUCAAAGGAAUUGACGGGGGCCCGCACAAGCGGAGGAACAUGUGGUUUAAUUCGAUGAUACGCGAGGAACCUUACCCGGGCUUAAAUUGCAGAUGAAUUACGGUGAAAGCCGUAAGCCGCAAGGCAUCUGUGAAGGUGCUGCAUGGUUGUCGUCAGCUCGUGCCGUGAGGUGUCGGCUUAAGUGCCAUAACGAGCGCAACCCUUGUUGUCAGUUACUAACAGGUUCCGCUGAGGACUCUGACAAGACUGCCAUCGUAAGAUGUGAGGAAGGUGGGGAUGACGUCAAAUCAGCACGGCCCUUACGUCCGGGGCUACACACGUGUUACAAUGGGGGGUACAGAGGGCCGCUACCACGCGAGUGGAUGCCAAUCCCCAAAACCUCUCUCAGUUCGGACUGGAGUCUGCAACCCGACUCCACGAAGCUGGAUUCGCUAGUAAUCGCGCAUCAGCCACGGCGCGGUGAAUACGUUCCCGGGCCUUGUACACACCGCCCGUCAAGCCAUGGGAGCCGGGGGUACCUGAAGUGCGUAACCGCGAGGAGCGCCCUAGGGUAAAACUGGUGACUGGG